rnacentral:rRNA from 1 species
UGGGGAAUAUUGCACAAUGGGGGAAACCCUGAUGCAGCCAUGCCGCGUUGUGUGAAGAAGGCCUUCGGGUUGUAAAGCACUUUCAGUUGUGAGGAAAAGUUAGUAGUUAAUACCUGCUAGCCGUGACGUUAACAACAGAAGAAGCACCGGCUAACUCCGUGC